rnacentral:rRNA from 1 species
GCUCAGAGUGAACGCUGGCGGCGUGCUUAACACAUGCAAGUCGAACGAGAACAUGCAGUAGCAAUACUGUGAUGCUAAGUGGCGCACGGGUGAGUAAUGUAUAGGUAACAUGCCCUUAAGAGGGGGAUAACAGAGGGAAACCUCUGCUAAUACCCCAUAACCCUUCUUAUCAUAAGAUAAGUUGGCAAAGUUUUUUCGCUUAAGGAUUGGCCUGUAUAGUAUCAGCUUGUUGGUGAGGUAAUGGCUCACCAAGGCUAUGACGCUUAACUGGUCUGAGAGGAUGAUCAGUCACACUGGAACUGAGACACGGUCCAGACUCCUACGGGAGGCAGCAGUGGGGAAUAUUGCACAAUGGGGGAAACCCUGAUGCAGCAACGCCGCGUGGAGGAUGACACUUUUCGGAGCGUAAACUCCUUUUCUGUUAGAAGAUAAUGACGGUAUAACAGGAAUAAGCACCGGCUAACUCCGUGCCAGCAGCCGCGGUAAUACGGAGGGUGCAAGCGUUACUCGGAAUCACUGGGCGUAAAGAGCGUGUACGCUGUUUAGCAAGUCAGAAGUGAAAUCCUAUAGCUCAACUAUAGAACUGCUUUUGAAACUGCUUA